UACGUAGGGUGCAAGCGUUAAUCGGAAUUACUGGGCGUAAAGCGUGCGCAGGCGGUUAUGUAAGACAGUUGUGAAAUCCCCGGGCUCAACCUGGGAACUGCAUCUGUGACUGCAUAGCUAGAGUACGGUAGAGGGGGAUGGAAUUCCGCGUGUAGCAGUGAAAUGGCGUAGAUAUGCGGAGGAACACCGAUGGCGAAGGCAAUCCCCUGGACCUGUACUGACGCUCAUGCACGAAAGCGUGGGGAGCAAACAGG
rnacentral:rRNA from 1 species